AGGAGAACGUGGGCAUUUAUGCGCGCCUGUGCUGCACCAUUCUGUUUUAUUGCUAUAUCUUUGUUAACUUUUGUCCAUACGCGCCUUCAAUUAUAUUUACUAUCUGGACAAGUCGCUCUUUUAAAUGAAUGACUACGUCAAGUUGAUAGGCCGCUGUUUCAAGGCCGCUUUAAUAAGUUUAGUGCCGGAGAUGCCGAAAACCAUUGAUAUUGGAAGACCAAACAGUUCGCAACCAUAUCUGUCUGCUUUCAUGCUUGUCGAGUUUCUUAUCAACAUUGCUAGUAGUUCCAGAUAAUCCCUCCCCCCCAGAAUACGGUAUUUUGUGUUUAAUUAAUGAGAAGCUUGCUGAAUGCGGUUCAACGUUGUUUCGAAGAGAACACUUUGAUCAAGUCAUA